rnacentral:rRNA from 1 species
UACAGGAGGGUGCAAGCGUUUGUUCGGAUUCAUUGGGCGUAAAGGGUGCGUAGGUGGCGCCGUAAGUCAGGUGUGAAAUUUCGGAGCUUAACUCCGAAACUGCAUUUGAUACUGCGGUGCUUGAGGACUGGAGAGGAGACUGGAAUUCACGGUGUAGCAGUGAAAUGCGUAGAUAUCGUGAGGAAGACCAGUGGCGAAGGCGGGUCUCUGGACAGUUCCUGACACUGAGGCACGAAGGCCAGGGGAGCAAACGGG